CUCAGUUGCCAACCUACUCCCGAGUAGACUGGACCUGACUUGUGCUAAGAUGGCUAGGACAAGGAGAGUCAAACGCCGCUGUCUAAGAAGCCAGCCAUCGUUGGAGGAAAGAUUAGCCAAGGCAACCAGGCGGCCUCGGCGGCGCAGAGUUAGUCGGCGAAGGAGAACUGCAAGAGGCAGCAGGAGGCAACGUCCUCGCUCGAGACGGUGCUGAGCCUCCAGCUCCAUGCCAGGACCAUCCACGACACACGAGCUCACGAGAAGCAGUCAAGCCAGAUGAGAAGACCCAACACAAGAAUCCAUGGGCCUAAUACAUCUCUCGGGACCCCAUGAUUGUACUGCUUUGGAUGGAUUAAACUGAUGGAAACUAA